GAAGACCAUCCACUCCAGAUUAUGCAAGAGAUGGUAAUUGUCUUUGAGGUGAGGCAGACUGUUGACUCAAAUCAGCAAAAAGAAAGUGGAGUGCAUAGUGCUUUUUCUCCAGCAUGACUUGGCUACACUUCUUCCUCUUCCUGUCCCUUAUGGGGCUUAUAGCUUCUCACACUUGCAAGUACUGUUUGAUUGGAGAAGCAGAAUAAAUAAGUGAACCAAGUGGAGAGAACAACUGGCCACACAAACCCCUGAUUAAAAUUUUUUGUUGAAGAAACUAAAUGAGAGAGGAAGUCUUUUCUUGUUCACAGGGAUGUACAGCUGGGAGCCACCUUGGAAGGUCCCCAAAGCCCCAUCUGUUAUUCCUGAGCUCCUACUGACAAGUGUUGUUCACAAUUUCCAGUGUGGACACCCCGCAUCUCUUUUCAGGUAUCCAAUCUUG